rnacentral:rRNA from 1 species
GACGAACGCUGGCGGCGUGCUUAACACAUGCAAGUCGAACGGAAAGGCCCUGCUUUUGUGGGGUGCUCGAGUGGCGAACGGGUGAGUAACACGUGAGUAACCUGCCCUUGACUUUGGGAUAACUUCAGGAAACUGGGGCUAAUACCGGAUAGGAGCUCCUGCUGCAUGGUGGGGGUUGGAAAGUUUCGGCGGUUGGGGAUGGACUCGCGGCUUAUCAGCUUGUGGGUGGGGUAGUGGCUUACCAAGGCUUUGACGGGUAGCCGGCCUGAGAGGGUGAACGGCCACAAUGGGACUGCGAGACGGCCCAGACUCCUACGUGAGGCAGCAGUGGGGAAUAUUGCACAAUGGGCGGAAGCCUGAUGCAGCAACGCCGCGGUCGUGAUGACGGCCUUCGGGUUGUAAACCGCUUUCGCCUGUGACGAAGCGUGAGUGACGGUAAUGGGUAAAGAAGCACCGGCUAACUACGUG